UACGUAGGGUGCGAGCGUUAAUCGGAAUUACUGGGCGUAAAGCGUGCGCAGGCGGUUCUGCAAGUCAGAUGUGAAAGCCCCGGGCUCAACCUGGGAAUUGCAUUUGAAACUACAGGGCUAGAGUGUGUCAGAGGGGGUAGGAAUUCCACGUGUAGCAGUGAAAUGCGUAGAGAUGUGGAGGAAUACCGAUGGCGAAGGCAGCCCCCUGGGAUAACACUGACGCUCAUGCACGAAAGCGUGGGGAGCAAACAGG
rnacentral:rRNA from 1 species